UUACGGGAGGCAGCAGUGGGGAAUAUUGGACAAUGGGGGCAACCCUGAUCCAGCAAUGCCGCGUGAGUGAUGAAGGCCUUCGGGUUGUAAAGCUCUUUCACCCACGACGAUGAUGACGGUAGUGGGGGAAGAAGCCCCGGCUAACUUCGUGCCAGCAGCCGCGGUAAUACGAAGGGGGCUAGCGUUGUUCGGAGUUACUGGGCGUAAAGGGCGCGUAGGCGGCCUGGUCAGUCUGGUGUGAAAGCCCGGGGCUCAACCCCGGAAUUGCACUGGAGACGACCAAGCUUGAGUGUGGGAGAGGAUGGUGGAAUUCCCAGUGUAGAGGUGAAAUUCGUAGAUAUUGGGAAGAACACCGGUGGCGAAGGCGGCCAUCUGGACCAUUACUGACGCUGAGGCGCGAAAGCGUGGGGAGCAAACAGGAUUAGAUACCCUAGUA
rnacentral:rRNA from 1 species